UACAGAGGGUGCAAGCGUUAAUCGGAAUUACUGGGCGUAAAGCGUGCGUAGACGGUUAUGUAAGUCAGAUGUGAAAGCCCCGGGCUCAACCUGGGAAUUGCAUUUGAGACUGCAUAGCUAGGGUGCGGAAGAGGGAAGCGGAAUUUCCGGUGUAGCGGUGAAAUGCGUAGAGAUCCGGAGGAACACCAGGGGCGAAAGCGGUCGACUGGUCGAGUACUGACACUGAGGCGCGACGGCGUGGGGAGCAAACCGG
rnacentral:rRNA from 1 species